GUGCUCAUUUCAGCAGUGCGUAUACUAAAGUUGGAACUAUAUAGAUAAGAUUAGCAUGGCCCCUGCACAAGUUCACAAACUGUUCCAUAUAAUUAAAACAAAUAAAA
ensembl:snRNA U6 U6 spliceosomal RNA